rnacentral:lncRNA from 1 species
UUGCGCGUUUCCUGUUACUUUCAAGAUGGCUGCUGACAGUCUGCCAGCCUCGGCGAGCUAAGUCAGCUCAAUUUACUCAACUUAAAUACCAUGACAUUGUUCGUCAUAUAAUGUUUUUAUUUUUCUAUUAACAGCAUGGUGAAGUAGUCUUAGCUUCUUCACUGCAGUCCAAUGCACUGUGCAUGUGUGAUUUGUUGCAGCCAGCUGGUGAAAGGUGUUCCUCUUAUUACAGUUAUCCUCUUGUUUGUAGCUUUCGUCACAUGCAUAAACACUUCCAAACAAUUUCAAGAUUAACAGCCUCUUGAGGUCUGAGCCUUUCCGUUGCAGUCCAAUGUGUACAUGAAUUUUGUGCAGCCAGCUAGUGAACAGUGUGGUGAGCGGUUCAUGCAGACUGUGGUACUGGUGUCGUGCGUUCAUUUAACUAUGACCAUUCAGUCGUUCGUUUAUCGUAAGAAAUUCGUCACUUGUCGUAGAUUUCCAUGGUCAGUUUUAUGUUUGAGCUGUUAAUGGUGUUGCUGUAUGGGGUACAGUGGUUUUGCAGACCUUUUCCAGUUGAGAGAUGCGAUGAAAUGGAGCCUGUGCAGACUUGCAGUUGAAUAUCAUACUUUAUUAAUGUGUCAUUUUCCUAUGUUGGUGUCCAUGCAGUAUAUGCAGCGUUGUGUAAAAUAGUCGGUGUUGCCUGAUGGCUGUCGGGCUUAUUUUAUCGGCAGCAUUUUGUCGAAAUCUCGUCUCUUGCAACCUGUAUCGCCGUUGAGUUGAUUCGUUUGCCGCCGUUCCUUAGACUCAAUCCACCGGUGAAACUAAGAAGACGUUGCUGAAAUUCAAAAUUAAUCGAUAAAUUAUAUAGAUAAAUUACAAGUGCAUAUCUGGGCUCCCUUCUUCAGUGGCCCCGUUUCCCUAAAUAACCACUAACCAACGCCCGCCGGUGGUCACUCACUCGCUGCGACAACCAGAAAGAAGGGAGAUGUUUGGUCGCACGGGGACUUGCAAGGCGCAUGAUUCGAUGAAAUCUGUUGGAGGGUCAUGAGUCUAAGCCGGAAGUCUACUAUGAUGCAUUGCUCUCU